ACCGAACCGUCGACACGAGUUGUUGCUGGCUCUCGAGGGGGCAUGUGCACGCUCUGUCUACACAUCCAUUCACACCUGUGCACAAUCUGUAGUUCUGUGGCAUGGGGGGCUCCCACCUGCCAUUGUUCUACGUCUUUACACACACACCGUAAUAAAGUCUCAGGAAAUGUGUUCCACGUUCAACGUGAUACAGUACAACUUUCAGCAACGGAUCUCUUGGCUCUCGCAUCGAUGAAGAACGCAGCGAAAUGCGAUAAGUAAUGUGAAUUGCAGAAUUCAGUGAAUCAUCGAAUCUUUGAACGCACCUUGCGCCCUUUGGCCAUUCCGAAGGGCAUGCCUGUUUGAGUAUCGUGAACACCUCAACUCUCAUGGUUUUUCCGUGAUGAGCUUGGACUUUGGGGGUCUUGCUGGCCUGCCGUCGGCUCCUCUCAAAUGAAUCAGCUUGCCAGUGUCUGGUGGCAUCACGGGUGUGAUAACUAUCUACGCUUGUGGUUCUCCGCCGGGUAACCUUUGGUCAGAAGGUUCGCUGGAGCUCAUAGAGGCCCUUUGUGAGGGCAGCUUCUUGAACGUUUGAUCUCAAAUCAGGUAGGACUACCCGCU
rnacentral:rRNA from 1 species